UCGCUACCAAGCUUGCCGCUGACAAUCCCACUCCGAGAAGGGCGGAGGCUAUGCUGGACAUGCUUUUAGGCAGCUCGGAGUAGUAGAAUUCCGUCUGCCCAAUCAUGUUGAACGCCAUGGCCAAGCCGCUGAGCACGAGGUAAGGUAGUAGCCACAUGGCCGACAUUUGCACCACGGUUCGCGGGUCAUCUGAAAGUCCUUCAUCAAUUGCAAUACGGCGGCGAACCGUCUCUGUGAUUGCCCAUGCCGCCAUUGAUGCAGUAGAGAAAAGCAGUCCUAUCCCCAUCCUCUGCUUCAAGCUUAGUUGACACGGCUUCCCUUUGAUUUUUGAUGCUAGAGGGAGAAGGAUACGAUCAUAGAAACCGACCCAUAAUGUCAGAGUGAUAAUCGUAAAUAUGCAGAAGGAAGCAGCUGGGAUUUCAAAGUUGCGACUAACGUGUCGGUCCAUGGAGCUUGCCUGGAGUACUGGAAAUGAACUUUGGCUGAGGGUCACACCAAUCAUUAUUCCAGUAGACCAUAAAGGAAUUACCUUGAUCAAUGCUUUUAACUCCUCUACUUGAUCGACUGUACAAAGACUCCAUGGAUCCGAGGCUCUUCCAUCUGGAGUCAAGUCUUGUUCAGGAUGUUUGAUUAUACAAGCUUUGUUCAAACACCUAGGCCGAAAAUAAAAUUUAAGAAAAUGCAAGUAAGAAUUCUAAUUUUCAGUAGCACCUGAAAGCAAUUGAUACCUUAAAUUUUCACUUGGCACGAGACGCACGGAUCCUUCUCUGUGGUGGUACCUUUCUUCCGCAGCCUGAGGUGAUGAUAACUUUAUAUGUCGAUUCUUAUACGAGGCAACAAGGACUUGAAUUAAUCCAGAAAGCAAGCUUGUGUUAGCUUUUGACUUGACAUAAAAGGGAGAAGCCAGAAAAAAGCAAAGAGCUGAUAACAACAUUAUUGCGGCAGGAAUUCCAAACCCCACCUUCCAGCCCAAGUUAUCUUGAAUAUAAACAAUAAAAGUCACGGCAACCAUAGAUGACGCCGAGACCGAAACAUAAUACCAGCUGAAGUAACUCUUUAAGGCACCUUCACUUUUACUUUUGAUGCCAUCUCCCUUUUCCAACUGAUCAGCACCAAAGGCUAAAGAGGAUGACCGUAUGCCACCACCUCCAAGCGACAUGAGACCAAAAGCCAAAUACAACAGCAUCAAUUGAGACCCUGUAGCGGAUUCACAACUAUCUCUUAGUGUGUAGUCACAAGCUAGAGGCCUGGCGUGGGGGAAGAUUGUCGUCAGCCACAACAGAACCAUCCCCUGUUAAUCAAUCAUUUAGUCCUUUCAUCUCUAUUUAAAUAGAGGGUUAAAUUUCUUAACAUGCACUAUGAUUAAUCAAGUCAAAUAUUUUAAAAAUAAUACCAAAUCCCUGAUACUGCAGGGCCUUCAGGAGUCUAGUGGUUACCGGCGGCAGAGUAAUUUAUAUUUUACAGCUUCCAUAAAAAAGAACUAUUGCGAAAUGUUAAUUAAGAUUAACAACUAAGUUUAAUUUAAACUUGAUAGCUACUUGAUGCAAAAUAUAAAUUACAAUAAACAUAAAUUUUAUCACCUAUUGAGGAAAAGGACAUUGAGGUCGUCAGUACGCCUAGAUAUGAUGAAACUUGGGAAACAAAGCCAAAAAAAAGGCAAAAGGUUUAGUCCACGCAAUACGAAAAACGGAAAAAGUACCUAAGGGCUGAUUUUUUUUUUAUUAUUUACAAAUAGAUUAUACAAUUAGGACAUUCGCAUGUAUUCUUCUAAAGCGCUGCUUAAAUUCUUUAAACCUUCUCAAAUAUUUAGGGAUGUCAAUGGGGAGGGGAGGGGAGGGGACCAAUCUCGCCGUACCCAUCCCUAAUAUUUUGCGUAUGUCCCCGUCCCCUCUCUGUUCCCGUCAAAAUUACUAGAGAGAAUUCACAUCUCCUCCCUGAAUAAUAACAGGAGAUCUCCGAGGGUCCCCGAUCCCCAAAUAAUUAAUACAUUUUUUUUUUCGAUUUUGAGUUAAUCAUAUUAAAAUAAAAAAUUCAAAUAAAAGUAAAGUUCGAAAUAUAUCUUACAUUAAUAUCCAUUACAAAAGUCACAUACAUUAAAUUAGUAAGUAACGCAACAUGCAAGGGAUACAAACUUUUUUUACAAACUAUCAUGAACAAAUUAAUAGUCUAAUACAAAAUUGUUACAAAUAAAAUCAAAUUUAGAUUCAAAAUUAAUUUUUUUAAUGGUGGCGUGGAUACUUUAUAAAUGUGGACUAUUCCCUUUACAGCACAAUAGUUAAGUCGGAGCAAAUCAAGAGCAAAUAUUAGAUUAUAUUAGAUAUUAAAAUUGUGAUUCGCUGUGGGCAAUUAUAACACCUAAAAAUAAAUAAAAAAUAGAUUUAAAUUUAAAAUAUUUAAUGAAUAUUAAAAUUAAAACAAAAUUUUUGGUCUAAUAGAAUGUACCUGGUCUUUUUAAUAAUUUAGGACUUUAAUUAGUUAAUUAGGCCCAAAAGUUCAAUAAUAUAAAUAUUUUGAUAUUUGUUAUUUUUACCAAUAUUUAUAAUUUUAUAAUUCAAAUUUUAUUAUUUAUUUACUAGUAAUUUUAAAAAAUUAAAAUUAAAAUGGGGAAGUGGGUAUGGCAUGGGGAUUCCACCUCAUCCCCGUCUCCUCCCCGAAUAAGAAAUUGGGUAUGAAAUUAUCCCCAUACCCUCCCCUAAUCGAGAAAAUCUCCGAGAGUACCCGUCCUCGUAGGGAUUUUUGCCAUCCCUAUAAAUGUUUGAGAGUUGUCUACUCUACUCAUAUUUCGUGAGGGAUAGACUAACUUCACUCAAUUAUUUGAUAAUUAAGGAAGAAUUGAAAUUAACCUCCAUAAUACUUUUAUGAAUGUUCGAGCUCUUACACUUAACAUUGUAAGUGCAAGAGUUCUUCCAUUGGGCUAAAGGCCCAUUCGUCCUCAAUCCUAAGGGAUGAUUAAAUUCACAACAAUCGCCACCAAAAUGAAAACGAAAGCGUAAGCGUAGAUGUGAACGUGGCAGUGAAAGAUUACCAAAAGGCAAGUGAUGCAACCGAAACCGAUCAUCGCAUACCGGCCCACAUAGGAAUCGGCGAGAAAGGCCCCAAGAAUCGGCAGAAAAUUUGAAGCAGCUGACCAAAAGAAGAGUACGUUCGUACCUUCUGUUAUUUUCAUGUUAUAUUCUCUGCACAGAUACAGUAUCAUGUUUGGCAUAAACCCAGUACUCGCCAUCCUCUCAAAUGCUUCAUUUGCUGUCCACCAAAAAUAAAGCAAAUAAAAUAUAUUACACACAAUUGAUCAAAAGGGUAACAACAUCAACAUGCAUGCAUGUAGUAGACAUAUUAACAGAAAAAGCACAAGAUUUUUUUUUUUUUUUUGGGGGGGGUCAAGUGAAUAACUUACCAAUGAUGAAAGGCAAGGUUCUGAUGCCACCCUUUGGGUUUUUGUUGAUCAAGAGUGGCUCUGUGAUCAUUUUCUUUUCUUCUGAACAUGCUUCCAUUUUGAUUCUUUGUUGCUGUUUACUUGCUUAGUCUUCUGUUUCUUUGUGCUUUUGGAGACUAAUCUAUUAUCUAUGUAAGGAGAUUUUACACGUAGCAGAUAUAGUGUAGUAGCACCCACCGAAAGUGAGAAAUGCUAACAUGCAUGUGGAGAGCACUGAUACGAUAGAAAGUGGAAGAACAUCAACGACGCUACCAAUUAACUAGAUAAUUUGUUUUCUUUUUCUUUCUUUUGAGAGGUACUAAUUUAAUUAAAUAAUUAAGAUGCUGCGUAUGGGGGAAAAAAUCUCAUAAUAACAAUUGUUUAUGAAAGGAAUAGCCAAUAAUCUGUGAUUAGUUAAUGAAAGUGGGAUAUUGUGUUGAAUUCUUUAACCGUCCGAUGUGACUUCCACUUUAUGGGCAGUUGGAAGUUACGCCUAGUCAAAAGAAAGAAGUGGGAAACUAAAAAAAUAAAUAUAUAAAUAAACAAGUGGAAUAACUUAGAAAAUGGAGGAAUAACACAUAGAUCCCUCUAUUUGUAUAUUGUUUUUUUCAAAACAUACUUGGUCUAUUUGCGUAAAACAUGUUCCCGACGCCUUCAGAAAUGAUAGUUAGUUAGUUAUCUUUAUUUAGGGCCGAAUUUGAGCAGUACAUUAGUAAUGAAGUCAUGCCCUCACUCAACCUAAAGCAUAAUACAACCCUCGCUUAUCUUAUGGUGUGAAGUUUUACAGCUUUCUCAUCUUUUUGUAUAAAAAUUAUUAGCUUAAGAUUGUAUAAAAAAAUUUUAACUUCAACGUAAAAAUAGUCUCUAAAAUUUUAAUAUUACAAACUAUUAUUCUAUUUAAUAUUAUAAAGAUCCCAAGUAAAUAUCUACAGAAUGGAAGCCUAAAUUACUAAAUGUAUAUGGAGAAGAAUGAGUAUAAAGAAUUAAUAAAUUAAAGAGAAAUCUUCGGAGAAAGGAGGAGCAUGAUAUGAUUUAUUUGAAGAACAUAUUCAUGAAUACAGGAAGAUGACCGGACUAAGGUGUGGCUGCUCAUAUCUUGGCUAUUUUAAUUUGGAUUGAGGACUUAUUUGAUAUAAAAUGAUAAAAUGUGGCCGUUGUUUUAGAAAAUAAAAAGAGAACAAGGGAUUGUCUGUGCUCAACUAAACAGGAAUUGCUGGAGUCGCGACACCACAUCCUUUGAAUUUACUAAAAGUAAAACAGUAAAAAUUAAAAACAACCCAAAAUGCGACACGGCACGGAGGGUCAUUCUCGGAAAUGCGGGCCACCUUUGCCUGGCUUUUCAACUUCUUUUUCAUUGUUUCAAACUUUCGAGGCGCAGAGAGGGAGACACCAGACGCUGAACUCGCGCACUUGGUUACACGUACCACUGUCGGUAGUUUAGUACUUUUAGUACCCUUUUCAGUUAGUGCUGUGGUUGCCCUUGGGUCCCGGUCGGUGGCGUGAUGACGACGUGAACGAGAAGAAUCUACGCAUUAAAAAAUUGGUAAAGUAGAAUUUCAUUAAAUUUAUAAUCGAUAAAGGUGUUAAUUUGAUUGAAUAAUAAUUUUUAGGGUUAAUUCUGUCCUGCCCCCAAAUGUUUUAACAUAUUCCACCGCGCACCCAAAUGUUUCAACAAUGUUCAAUCCACACCCAAAUCUGUUAAUUUGACCGUUUAUUCUAACGGUCAAAGGGUAAUUUUGGAAGUUCAUGCCCUAAAUAUUAUUUGAUAAUGAUAAAUUAAAUUUAUUUGGUAAGUUAAUUGAUGGAAUUAUUAUUAAUUAUUUUUAAUUGAGAAUUUUUAAUGUAAAUAUUAAUUAUUGGAUUAACAUUUUAUCUCAUUUAAUUCUUUUCUAAUUCAAGAUAAGGGGUAUUUCAGACAUUUCAUUAAUGUUCAAAUAGUUCCGUUAAAAAUAACGGUCAAAUUAACGGAAUUGGGUGUGCAGUGGAAAAUGUCGAAAAGUUUGGGUACGCGGUGAAAAAUAUUGAAAGGUUUGGGGGUUAGGUGGAAAUAACCCUAAUUUUUAUUGUUCUCGAUUUUAGGCUUGAUAAAUUAAUAAAUUUAUUGAAUAAAAAAUUAAAAGAAUCUCAAUUUUCUAAUAAGCUCCAAUUAAUACAUAAAUUAAUAAUUAACUAAUUUAAAUAUAAAUACUAUGAAACUUUUAUAAAAUAAGUUUCCAAUGUUGCUUUCUUUUUCUAGAAAUUGAUUUGACUUGAUUUUCAUCCUUAAUUUUUGUAAUGCUAAAAGAAAUUCCAGCAUGGUGUAAUCAUUUUGUGACAAUAAAUUAUUCAAUGUCAGUAUUGAUUAAAUUGUUUCUCUGCAUGAGAUAGUCUUUAUAAUAAAACAGUUAUCUUCAACUUCUUCCUCUUUAAUCUUUAUCACUUUUCAUUGCACUUCCAAUCAUGUGAUCAUUUCUCAAAAUGAAAAUCAUAUCACACAGCUUGAAAAAGUCAUUACUCUAAUUAUAUUACCUCUAUACUUCAUAAAAAUUUCUACUUUGAACAUGAUAUCAUCUUUAAAAAUUAAUAUGAUUUAUUAAUUAAUAAUUUACUAUCUAUUGAUAUAUUAAUAUUCAUUUUUUUAAGGAAAUAUGAAUUUCAUUAAAUAGACAAAGCAGUAGACAACCAGAGAGGUAUAACAUGUUUCCACUCACCCGAACCUAACAUAGAACCCCCCACCUAUUAAUAUUCAUUAAAUCAAUAGAUUUUUAAUUUAUCUAGAUGGGACUACAUUAAAUUAUAAUAUCACAACGUUAGUGUAUGAACUCAUGUAUUCCAUAGCUGCAUUUUCUUAAUUAAAGGUGAAAGAACUUUCUGAAUUGAAGUGCGCAUGAAUGUGGCACCAUAUCUCAUCUCCUUGUAAAACAUUUUUGGAUUACACCACCUUUUAUUUCCUAAUCUUUUUCUUUUUCUUUUUCUUUUUUUACUUUUCCUUUUCAGUCUCAGUGGCCACUGGCCAGUGCCUCUUUGAUGGGCAAAAAUUUGAGUUCAAACUUCCAACAUAUUGCAACGACGCUAUUUUCAUGCUAUACAAUUGUUUGGCAUUAGAAUCUCUCUUAUACAUAAAAGUAGAGCAGAUAUAUAUUCUUUUAUAUAUGAAUGAAAAUUUAAACUAUAUCAUAAUAGAAUUAAUUUAGAAAAUAAUCUCAAUAUAUUAUUAAUUAUAAAUGUGUAUAAAAAAUUAUAUUCUUUUAUAUACAUAAAUUUUAUUUAAUGUUACGUUCAAUUCAUUCUUUUAUAUUCUUAUAAUAGUUAAAUAAUAAGAUUUAUAAAAUAUAUAUGACUUUCAUAAUAUUUUUUAAAAUAAAUUUACUAAAUAUUUAAUUAAUAAUCUUCACAAUGCAUUACCAACUACCCUAAGACUUAAGGGAGAGAAUCAGGCAUAAAGACAAUCAAGAUCGAUUCGUCGUUGACGUUUGUUGAUAAAUAUGUAAGUUUAAAUUAACAUAUAACAUAAUAUAAUCUUUUAUUCAUAUAAUCAUCAAAUAUUCUUUUAAAUUACAUUGAAAAUCAACGAUGACAAUUUCUCUUAACUUAAGAAAUUCAGCAAAGGUUCCUUCCGAUGAGAGCAAGCUCCUUAUACAACGAUCUGUUAUUACUGUUGUUAUAAUUAUCAUAACCCAUAAGAAUGUCAUAGGCUUGCCGUCUUUUUGUAUUGGAAAGAACCUCCCAAGCUUCAUUAAUAAGCAAAUUUGCAGUCUCAGCAGCGACAGAAGAACAUUCAUCAGGAUGAAACAACUGUGCCAAGCCCUCAUAACUCUGCCUGAUUUCGUCCUCUCCGGCUUUAUGAUCUUUGAUACCCAGAACCAAAUACCAGCUUUUGGUUUGCACUGCGACUUUGUGCACCAUGUACGAGCUUAAGUAGUUAUCGAGGCCCGGAAGAUUAGGGUUCUUAAGCCGUGCUGUUUUAAUGGCGUAGAGUGCGGCAUCAAUGUUUUUGUUUAUGAAUAACUCCUCUGCCAUGUCUCUGCAGGCUUCAGCUUCCAUAUUUAUGAGCUUCGGGAAUAGAGCCUCUGCGGCUACUGGAUUGCACAACGGAGGAGGCAUUGUUGAAUUGAAAAACAGAGCCAGAAACAGAGAAUGUAAUGUUACUUUGUUGUGUAAGUGCUAAAAUAGGAUAGCUUUAUCAUGCAGAACAAGGAUUCCUUUUUGGCAUUUUUUUUAGUCUUUCCUAAUAAAAUAAGUAAUCAAGAUUGAAAAUUAAAUGUUGAUAUUGACAAUCAACUAACUUUGUUUUUCACUUUAUUUACAAUUAAACUAUUUUUUGUUACUAGAUUUAAAAAGAUUAAAAGAAGAAAACAAUAUGAAAGAAUUUUAAUCCUAUUACAAAUGUAGAGGCUUAAUCCGACAAGACAACGUUUUUGGUUGGUGGGUUUGCAAGGUUUUGUGUUACUCCUUAAUUGCCUAGGGGCGGGUAAAAUUCUUGGAUUCUUUUACCGAAUUAAAUAAGAAAGAGUGCGUAGAAAUUAAGAAACGAACCACUAAUAAGAUUCUCAGAAUCGGAUUCGCCAAAGGGAUGGCAAUAUAUAUAAAGAUUCGCGGUUAAAGGAUAGUUGAUUAUUUGACCUUCAACACUUUUCUCAAUUUACGGCAAAUUCGUGUAAAGAAACUAUAAACUUUUUUCGGACCCUAUGCUUUAGUAAAAUACAAAUUUAGAGUCAUGUUCAGGGCCCCAUCUUAGCAUUUUCACUGGAUGCAACUUUCAAGAACGACAAUGUAUAUGGGUUGAAGUUUGUGUACAUUAUGCUCGAUAAAAGCAGCGAGAGAAGUUCCAAUAAAAUAAUAGUAGAAGGAAAAAAAUACUUCGAAUUUUCAUGUUUGAAUUCCAAUUCAAAUGACAUUUUCGUUCAUUUAGAAUCUGAGUUCUUCUGCUUAUGAGAACAAAGAAUUUGAAUUAAACCCAUUAUAUUUAUUUAUUUUUUUUCCCUUGCUUUGUGCUCAAAGAGAUAUAUUCACAAUUGACUAAAAUUGUUGACUCCACCAUUCAACAAUAGUAAAAUAAAAUACUAUUAUCAAACAAUAGAAAAACGAAGAUUAGUAAAAGGUAAGGGUAAUCAUUAAUUAAAUUGUUCCUGAAGGUUCAAACCAUUUGAAAACCUCAGGAAUAUUUGUUGCCCACAAUCGAAAUAUGGUCAGAUAACUUCAUGUAUCACUUGGGUGAGUUUUUAUUUAUGCUUGCGUCAUACACAUAUAAUCAUUUAAGAUAAAACAUAUGCCUUUUGUUGAAUUCUCAAUGUCAUGUUUGCCUAAAAAUAAGAUUGUAGAUUAAGGACCGUUUGGGAGAGUUUUAAGGAGAUUUAAAAGUAAUUUUAAAAGAUAAAAGUUAAUUUUAGUAUUCGAUAAUUUUUUUAAGAAAUUACUUUGGUAAAAUCACCCCAUUCUCUACAACGAAUUUUGGAAAACAUGGAAAAAAUAAUUUUUAAAUUCGACUUUGAGAAUCAAUUUUAUACUUAAUACAAUUUCAUAUAUAUCCUUAUAUAAAUUAUACAAAUUCAAAAUUAUCUUUAUUAAUUAAAAAAUAAAAUUGUUAAAUUUAAAGGAAUUAUUAUUAUAAUUACCAAUUAUAUUGAGAUGGCAAAAUAAAAAAUAAAAUUAAUAAUAUAAAAUAUUUAUCUUAGUUAUCAAUUAUUAUAUAUACAUAUUUGUAUGUUUAUAUAUGUUAAAUAAAAUUUAUGUUCAACUCAAUCAUUUACGUUUAUACAACAGUUUGUCACCGGAAUUCCCCGCAGCUUGACUGGAAUUCCUUCUCACGACCAAAACCUUCUUCGUCUUAUGAGGGACACUCGAUGGCAAUGAGGACGACGCCGACGACGCAACAACGCUCGAUGUGUUUCCCCUAAACCUUUCUACCAAUGUAGGCUUAGGCUUAGGCUUAUCAUCAUUAUUAUCUUCAGGAUCUUGAUUUUCCAAUUUGACAACAACGUUCAUUUCAGGAUCUUGAUUCUCGGCAUGAAUCUGAACAGUUUUAUCAAAACCCAUCAACAAAUCAUAAGCCUCCCUUUUUUUCGGAUUUGACAACACUUGACACGCUUCGUUAAUUAACUUAUUAGCAGUAUCUGCCCCGACGGACGAACACCAAUCCAGCUUAAACAACUAAACCAGAGCCUCAUAACGUUUCUUGAUCAUGUCGACUCCAACGCAGUGGUUUUGUUGGGAAAAUAUGCACUUUAAAAGCAUAUGUGUUUAUUUAAUUGUAAUAAAUAAUUUUUCUGAUUAAUAAAAUAAAUUAGGUAUUUUAUUCAAGUAUGUUAAUUGCAUUAAUAUUUUGAGUAAAGUCCAUUUGAUCAUAUUAUAUGUAUUUAUGUGAUCAUCAUGUGGAUUUACAGAAGACAUAAAUACAAGUUAUCUUAUGAUUAAAUAAAUUAGUUCGCAGUUGAUAAAUAAAGUUGGACAUUUUAUUUAGAUAUAAACUCUAAUGAAUUUAUUGAACGAUUUGUCUUAAUUAUGUAUGAAUUUAUUGAUAUAGUACGACUACAUUGAACAAGAUCACAUAUGAGAUUUAAUUAAUUUUGUAAUAACUGUCAUACUUAUUAAAUCUCAUAGGCAUUGAUUUUACUGUAAUCUUAAUCUUGAGUUAAUUAUGAUUACAUGGUUGUAAUUAUUAUUCCAUUUGAGUUACCAAUUGGUACGACACAUACUUGUAGUCAAGAUUACCCAGUAUCUUGAUGGAAACAAUUAUGAGUAUUGGAGUUAUAGAUUAACAAUAUAGAAUUUGUACAACACGUCUCUUGAUGGGUUUCCGACACUUGAUCAUAGAACUCUCUGACCAGAGUGUGUCAACACAUUUAGUAUGUUGAAAAUGAUCAUUAGAGAAAACCAGAUGUGAUUGAGAUAUUGAUUUAAUUAAUGAUGUGGUACUAAUGAUUGUGCAAUAAAGAAAUCAAUGUGACUUAAGAUGAAUUAUUAUUCGAACAUACAAUUGUGAAGGUCAGUUCCAAUUUUAUAGUAGAGUAGAGUUGGAAUUACAUUAUUAGACUUAUUUAAUUACAGGCUUAAUUAUUAUAGCCAUUAUUGUAUGUUCCCAAAUGAUCCCCAGGUUAGCUCAUUUAAUUGGCUGCACCACUAUAUGAUUAAUAAGCAAGAUAACUAGCUAUUUAGGUCAAAAGCCUAAACAUAUCAUUUAGUGGGAGGUUACAUUUAAUAUGCUUGUGUGUAAGUGGUCUUAUGUUAUUUAUAAGGUGGGCCUCCGAUAGAAAAAGUAAGUAACGUGACUUUUGAUUUUUAUUAUUUGGAAUCUAAGGUUCUCAUUAAAGGAAGAUAUAAAAAAACUUAUUUUCUCUAAAUAAAAAAGAAAGAAAGAUGCCACAUUAUACAGAUCAGAGAAAAAGAUUUUUUCUCUCUAAUUUUGAGAGAAAAAUUUUCUCCUGCUAGUUGCUUUUAAUGAUGAUAAAAGCGGCCACAUUUCAAGUGCAUAUCAAACCUGAAUCAUUACUUAGAAGAUUAUUUAGUCAUAACCUAGAAGAUUAUUUAGUGGCAGAUCGUGAUUUAACAAGAGUUGUGGUAACGAAUCGUGGUCUGCGAAUAUAAAUCACUUCAGCAGAAAAAACAAAGAUUGUUUAUCUUUUCAGAUUUUUAAGAUAUAAUUUUUAAAUUACGAAUUCUUAUAUAUUGAAUAAAAUUGAUUCUAAAAAAAAAUUAAUUAAAAAAACUGAUUUUACCCCAACAGGGCUCUGAUCCGGAGCACCGCGUACCAACUCUUCUUCGCCGCUAGCUUGUGCACCACGUAACAAGCGAAGUGGCUGUUCAGCCCCUGAUGGUUUGGGUUCUUCAUCCGCAGUCUGUCCACGACGCAGAGGGCGGAAUCGAUUUUUUCUUCUUUGAAUAAUUCUUUUGCCAUGCGUUUGCUGGCUUCCGCUUCCUUGUCUGCCAACUUGGAAAACAGAGCCUCCCUGGCUUCUGGAUUGUUAAAUGGGGAAGAAGACAGAGACGCAGACGACGACAUCUGUAACAGCCUCCAUCGGACGCGUGGUAGAUUUAUUUGAAGGCUGAAAAAAGAGAGGAGAUUUUUUUUUUCUCUUUUCAGUAGCAAUCUCAUGUUUAUUAUUAUUAUUAUUAUUAUUAUUAUUUUCUUAAUUAAUUGCAAUCAAGAAUAAAAAUCAAGUUAAUUUGAUGUUUAUAAAGAAAAGAAAAUGGGGAGGGGGAGCUGGAACGCAAAUUUACUUAUGAAACAUAUUCCUCAAUAGUCGUUUACUGUAAUUUUCAAACUUAAAACUAAUAAAGGUUACAAGGGAAUCUCAUGAGAUAAAAGGUCGGUGCUGAAUCCCACUAACUAUUGCUUUCUCGAAUCUUGUAUUUUUAAGGGGCCACGGAACCUUCCCCAUUACAUCAAAGUGCUGGCCCUAUUACUGUAACUUACCGACUAUGGAGUUUUGACACUGGACACUGCUCCUAUUACUAACUCUGUACGAAACUUACUAUAAUUUUAGACACUCGCAGAGAAAUUGUGAACUAACAUUCCUCCCGCAUGUCAUCCGCGUCGUCUAACGCCUUAUGGACUUCCACUCUGCAUGGACCAUAAGCCUUGCAGCAAGCAAGAAAAUAUACAAAAUUAGCCAUGUUUAAAGCAGAGAGAAGCCAGAAGUAGUGAUCAUAAUGACCCUUGUUGAUAUUGCUUGGAAUCCACCCCUGCUUUCCUCUACUUCUUGUAAUACCAUCGACUGAAUUCAUUAUCAAGCUCGCUACCAAGCUUGCCGCUGACAACCCCACUCCGAGAAGGGCGGAGGCUAUGCUGGACAUGCUUUUAGGCAGCUCGGAGUAGUAGAAUUCCGUCUGCCCAAUCAUGUUGAACGCCAUGGCCAAGCCGCUGAGCACAAGGUAAGGUAGUAGCCACAUGGCCGACAUUUGCACCACGGCUCGCGGGUCAUCUGAAAGUCCUUCAUCAAUUGCAAUACGGCGGCGAACCGUCUCUGUGAUUGCCCAUGCCGCCAUUGAUGCAGUAGAGAAAAGCAGUCCUA
rnacentral:lncRNA from 1 species